UACGUAGGGCGCAAGCGUUGUCCGGAAUUAUUGGGCGUAAAGAGCUCGUAGGCGGCUUGUCACGUCGGGUGUGAAAGCCCGGGGCUUAACCCCGGGUCUGCAUUCGAUACGGGCUGGCUAGAGUGUGGUAGGGGAGAUCGGAAUUCCUGGUGUAGCGGUGAAAUGCGCAGAUAUCAGGAGGAACACCGAUGGCGAAGGCAGCUCACUGGGCCGAUACUGACGCUGAGGAGCGAAAGCGUGGGGAGCGAACAGG
rnacentral:rRNA from 1 species